AGAGACAUCUUUCCCUUCACUUUCUUCCAUUCUGCUACCACUUCAUCUCUGUACAAUUUGUUUGACCACCCCUGCAACUGAGAAUUAUUUAUUGUCUGUGAGAUGGCUAAAGUAAGCCUAGCAGUAAUAUCACUAUGGGUUAGUGUAUAAGUCCUUGGUAGCUUCGCUGGAUGCUUCUUCUCAUCAACUCCUACAAACAACACCUUCAGCUUUGAGGCCUCAAAAAUCGAUGGCCCAAAUAAUCUUGCCACAGGACUAAUUCUCUUGUUGGGUUUUCUUCUGGAGGGGAAGAAAGGGUUGUUCUGCUCAAACACAGAGGGUCUUGGCUUUGUAGGAAGCAGAGGAACAAUACACAAAGCACACAUCUCUCACCCUCCACUUGUCUACUUCUCUGCCUCUCUCGUUUAUUUGUAAGAGCCGUAACUAAACCUUGUAUAAUAGUUGUAUCUCCAAUUUUCUUGAGGCAUCCAGAAAUGGGAACUUAAUUAUACUGUAGAGGAGGGAAUAUUUUAUUUCUUUCUCUUUUCCUUGCUUUUUUUUUCUUUUUCUUUUUUCCUUUCUUGCCCUCUGCUUUGCUUGUGUGCUCAACCUUGGAAUGAAGACUUGGAAGAUUCAAGUUAGGAGCAUAAAGAAGCAAGAAGUUGGUAUUAUUUCGACUGCAAGAGUUAGAUCAUGUUGCGUGUGGGUAAUGGUUGUUUUCCAAAGGCUUUUGAUGGCAGUUGGAGUCAGCUGUUGCUUAACAAAGGAUUUUAAGGAGGGAACACU
rnacentral:misc_RNA from 1 species